rnacentral:misc_RNA from 1 species
GUGAAUCAUCGAAUCUUUGAACGCACAUUGCGCCCCUUGGCAUUCCGAGGGGCAUGCCUGUUCGAGCGUCAUUGUGAAAACCUCAAGCCUGGCUUGGUGUUGGGCUCUCGCCCCCCCUCCUCCAGGGGGGGGCGUGCCUGAAAAUCAUUGGCAGUGCCUCGAUGGCCUCAAGCGUAGUGGACUACUCGCGCUUUGGAGCGUCUGUCGUGGGCUCACUGGCCUGGAUGUGUCAUCAUGAAAGAAGCUUGACCUCGGAUCAGGUAGGGAUACCCGCUGAACUUAAGCAUAUCAAUAAGCGGAGGA